AGCGAGUAGCUGAACCAGCAUUUCCAGCCUUUUGCUGUGUUUCAAGCCAGCCCAGGACCAUGACUGCAGAGCAUUAUUGAGCAGAAGAAUAUCAGUAUGGCAGGGGAGGGGGGAACUAUUUGGUGACCACAUUAUCACUGGCUUGGUUUUUCACCACUUUGCUCAGACUGGCCCAAAGGUGAACAGGUGAAUUCCUUGAUGGGCUCCAGAGCAACCAUGGGCCUCCAGUCCCUAGCCCCUGCAGAAGUCAUACAUGGUACAAUACAUUGACUAGAGAUGUGCACUCUCAAAGUCACUGCAGAGACCACCAUAAUUAAUCAUCUCAAGCAUCAUACCUCUGUCUGCUGCUGUGUGAGCAGGAAACCGGGCACCACUCAAAUGACCAAUACUAUGCCUAUCAAGACAAGAAUUGGAAGCAGCUUCUUUUUCAGCUGGUGAACUAGGCAGGAUUGAGGAAAAGAUAAACAGAGCAGAUAGAUCCUUGAUGAUUUGGACCUCAGACUCUGUGCUUAACGACACAUGAAAAACUUCAUAACAAGUGUGUGUAAAUGUGCUUGUGUGGCACAGCCCAGAUUUGAACCUGAUCUCUGGCGAGUCAUGAAACUAGCUGUGCAUUGAUCCUCGUCUAUCCCGACAGAGCUCCAGAGGAUCUACAGAGAAGGAAGGGAGGAAAAAAGGCUAAAAACAAGUGUGCCAAGCUUAUACCCUGCCAGAUCCAGGCAGAUGUAAUCACGGUUAAUGUGUAAUAUGAUACUAAAGGCAAAAUGUAUGUGUUACUCAUCUGUUCACUAUGCUCCAUUGUUCCUGUUCCUGAAGCCUUGUCUUGUACCUGCCUAUCACUGCCUAGUGUAUCUGGGUUCCAGAAGUCAUCGUCAUGUCUGCUUCCUAUUUAUGGUAUAUUUGGAUUAAGAAGAUAUUUUCAUGUGUGCACUGGUCCCUGCAGUUGUUACAGUUUAGGCUGGUUGCAUCUGUUUGUCUGAGUUCCAGAAGACGUGACCGAAGUCUGAACUAGCUCCAAGUCCAUGCAUGGGUUCCAGAACUCUUCACCCAAAUCUGAACAAGUUCCAAGUCCAUGUUUCUGUAAGGGUUCAUGCACAUGAACUUUUUUGCGUUCAGUAUACUGGCCAUUU